rnacentral:rRNA from 1 species
AUUGAACGCUGGCGGCAUGCUUUACACAUGCAAGUCGAACGGCAGCGCGGGCUUCGGCCUGGCGGCGAGUGGCGAACGGGUGAGUAAUGCAUCGGAACGUGCCCAGUAGUGGGGGAUAGCCCGGCGAAAGCCGGAUUAAUACCGCAUACGACCUGAGGGUGAAAGCGGGGGACCGAAAGGCCUCGCGCUAUUGGAGCGGCCGAUGUCGGAUUGGCUAGUUGGUGGGGUAAAGGCUUACCUAGGCGACGAUCCGUAGCUGGUCUGAGAGGACGACCAGCCACACUGGGACUGAGACACGGCCCAGGCUCCUACGGGAGGCAGCAGUGGGGAAUUUUGGACAAUGGGGGCAACCCUGAUCCAGCCAUGCCGCGUGCGGGAAGAAGGCCUUCGGGUUGUAAACCGCUUUUGUUCGGGAAGAAAUCCUCUGGGCUAAUACCCCGGGGGGAUGACGGUACCGGAAGAAUAAGCACCGGCUAACUACGUG